CCAAUGUUGUCUGUAGAGCAUUUAACCAAAGGCCCUAGAAGGAAAGUAUUGAGAAAGGGCGCAUGCUUUAUUCAGUUUGUAUAUAUUACACAUGAGGUGACUAUGAAACUCCUGCAUAAACAAUUGGCUGCAAGGAACGUGACAAUGAAGAGAUCUGGUUAAAUCGAGUUUUGAGGCCUUCUUCACCACGGGGAAGAGCCGUUCCAGGGCAUAGGAUCCAGGGCAGCCUCCUGACUUGACUGUAGAUCGGAUGAAACAGGCUUUGUGGGGGACUAGGAGGUGAUCGAUCACUAGCACAGUCUGGAACAAUGUCUGUGAUGCCUUGCCAGCACCCAUUGGUUCAGCAAAUCUUGGCUGAGAAACUCUUCAGGACUUCUGGUGAAUAAAAUGGAUGCACUUCUGCUGGGUAUCAAUGAAGUGGACGCACUUCUGCUGGGCAUCCUGGAGUGAUGGAGACGACACAAAGCAAACUAUGGAAUAGCUGGUAUUCUGGCUUCCUAUCUGUUAGUGUGAUAACACACUUGGACACAUUGAGGUGGAAAGAUUGAUCGCAGUGUACAGGUUGCAGUCACCACUGAAGAAAGUCAGGACGAGAACUCAAGCAGGAACCUGAAGAUGGUCUGCUUGGUAUCCCACCCACACAGCCAAGGAAGCAAUCAAAGACGGUUAUGGUGCCUGCAGCUCCUCAAUCCCUGUCCCUGGCCUGCUAAAGAUGCCAGGAUCUGGUCCUGGAUGAAGAUAAAUUACAGGAGACCACGUCAUCACCAUAUGUGUU